rnacentral:misc_RNA from 1 species
CGCACCUUGCGCUCCUUGGUAUUCCGAGGAGCAUGCCUGUUUGAGUGUCGUGAACAUCUCAACUCGGAAGCAUUCGUUUGCUUUCUGGGCUUGGACUUGGAGGUUUUUGCUGGCGAUGGUCGGCUCCUCUCAAAUGCAUUAGCUGGGCUUAGCUCAGAGGAAUGAUCGGUGUGAUAAUUAUCUGCGCCGUCACUCAUGACUCUGGAUCCCGCUUCCAAUCGUCUCUCCACACGAGACAAUUCAUUUGAACAUCUGACCUCAAAUCAGGUAGGACUACCCGCUGAACUUAA